rnacentral:lncRNA from 1 species
UGGGUAAACUGCGCUACCUCUACAGAGUGUAUUCAAUCUAUCGAUAGCCGCGUCCUCGGUCAUGGGAAAAAGUACGUCGUAGGUCACACUAUCGGAUCUUGGUCGAAAUGGAGGAUAAACCUGCUAAUAACUUGUGUGUUAAUUAAAAUGUGAUAAAUCGUGUGAUGACUUGGACUGUGGGAAAAUCGUGAGAAGCCGCGAUGAUGUGUGGAUAUGACCCCGAGACAAGGUCUUGGAAAGUCACGCGUGUGCUCUGAGGAGCCGUGGCAGAGUAAGUGAUUGUUGCAUAAGGUUAAUACAUCAUGUCUUCACGGAAGGUAAUUGGUAGUUUAUUUCCAGCAUAGUUUCGUGAUGCCAUGCUAUGUUUUGAUAUGUUAUGCUUGUUGUUGUUAUGUUAGAAGUAAAUUUGAUAUGCCAUGCUAGUAGAUGGUGUGCUGUUGUUCAUGCUUAGUUUGAUUUAUGAUUCGAGUUAAUAUCAUGGCAUGCGUAGAAGUUGUGUUGAAGUAGACUAUUGCAUAUGCUUGGUUCUUGCUUCGUCAUCUGUUUGUUUGGAUGCUAUGUAUUUGGUUGUCUUGCAAGUACAUUCAAUGUACUGACCCGGCUUCUCAUCCCAGUUUUGUAGGUCGUGCCCAAAUUGUUCGCUUGUUUCAUCGUGCUAGGCCGUAAUCUUGCCAGUCUUGUGAGUUGUGGAGCCAAUCCUAAGUGAGAUGCUGCCAAACCAAGACUUCUAUUGCUAGUUAAAUAGACUUCCGCUGCCAUUUAAAUAGCCUUAGGUCUAUGCUAGAUAAUUGUAUUCAUCAAUGAUGUAAUCUUAUAUACAUGUAUUUGAUGAAUAUUAUUGUACUUGGAAUGAUGUAUCAUGGACCUGUCGUGCAUCAGGUGUUAUCCUAGGCUGACGUGCGAAGGCCCCCUGCUCCAUGCGGAUCGGGGUGCUGAUAACCCACAAGUAUAGGGGAUCGCAACAGUUUUCGAGGGUGAAGUAUUCAACCCAAAUUUAUUGAUUCGACACAUGGGGAGCAAAAG